rnacentral:rRNA from 1 species
CCAAUAGCGUAUAUUAAAGUUGUUGCAGUUAAAAAGCUCGUAGUUGAAUUUCGGGAUCAAUGCGUCGGUCGUGCCUCGGUACGUACUGGCGUCAUUGAUUUCUCCCUUCUGAAGAACCGUGAUGCCAUUAACUUGGUGUCAUGGGAAAUCAGGACUGUUACUUUGAAAAAAUUAGAGUGUUUAAAGCAGGCUCACGCUUGAAUACAUUAGCAUGGAAUAAUGAAAUAGGACGUUCGACCCUAUUUUGUUGGUUUCUAGGAUCAACGUAAUGAUUAAUAGGGAUAGUUGGGGGCAUUAGUAUUCAAUUGUCAGAGGUGAAAUUCUUGGAUUUAUUGAAGACUAACUACUGCGAAAGCAUUUGCCAAGGAUGUUUUCAUUAAUCAAGAACGAAAGUUAGGGGAUCGAAGACGAUCAGAUACCGUCGUAGUCUUAACCAUAAACUAUGCCGACUAGGGAUCGGAUGAUGUUAAUUUUUUAAUGACUCAUUCGGCGCCUUACG